rnacentral:tRNA from 1 species
AUUAUUUUAGCAAAUUAUAAAUGCAUUAAAUUUAGAAUUUAAAAUAAAUAACUAAUCAUUAUAAAUAAUA